rnacentral:misc_RNA from 1 species
UUUCCGCAGGUGAACCUGCGGAAGGAGCAUUACUGAGUGAGGGCCCUCUGGGUAUAACCUCCCACCCGUGUUUAUUGUACCUUGUUGCUUCGGUGAGCUCGCCUCACGGCCGCCGGGGGGUAUCUGCGCCCUGGCCCGCGCGCGCCGAAGACAGCCUUGAACUCUGUCUGAAGUUUGCAGUCUGAGCGAAAACUAAAUAAGUUAAAACUUUCAACAACGGAUCUCUUGGUUCCG